rnacentral:lncRNA from 1 species
UUCCGGCCGUCUCUCCGCCCGGAAGCCUGUAACACAAAGUCCGUGCGAGUUGCAAGUAUCGCGAGGUUUGAUGUGGCCUGCCCGCCUGGUGUUCAUCUGGCGGCGAGGAGAGAGCCCGGGAGGUGUUCGCGGGCUCUGACCCGCUGUGGUGCAUUAAGGGCCAGCGAGAAGGGUGGCGGCCUGGCGGGAGACCGCCGUGCCCGGGUCGUGGCCUCUGGCUUCUGUUUGCGCUUGGGCGCUUCGUCGUGUCGCCGCCCGCGCGGGCGCUCUGGGAGGCGGCGAUGCCCUCGAUGCUGAGGCGUCGCCGGGCGUACGCGACUGCUGAGGGCGCAGAACCGGCCGCCGGCGCCUGGGCGCAAGGGCCGAGGUGAAACGCUGAAGAUUCGCCGCGUUCUCCGUGUGCCGUCUGAGGCUGCCGGCCGUCUGGAUGAUCCGUGACGGGAAGACGCUAAGCAAAUCAUGAAGCUGCUUUUGUGGGCAUCUUCGGGGCAGCCUGCCACCAACGGGUUAAUGGAGACGGUUUAUCUAACGCUUCUCCAUGCGCUGUACAGUGUUCAUCCAACACGGGGCCCUGCACGUGUCGGAAUGCCCGCCUGGCCCGCACGGCGCUUCCUGGAGCUGGGUCAGCCCGAAUGGGCCUGUGCUGAGUCCAGGGCGCUGUAACAAGCCACCACGGGCUUCGUGGCAGGAGAUGGCACGGGAGUGCUGUCCGACGGACAGCUCGACGGGAGAUCCGUUUCCUGGCCUUCUCCAGCUUCCGGAGGCUGUCCACGUUCCUGGGCUCGUGGCCACCUCCCUCCCCUCUUCAAAGCCAGGGGUGUUGCACGUCCGACCCUUCCGUAAUCACAUCUGCCUCUGAUCGCAGCUGGGAAAGAUUCUUUUAUUUUGAGGGCUCGUGUGAUAAGAUUGGGUCCACCUGAAUAAUCCAGGAUACUCUUCUCGUUUCAAGGUUAGGAAGAAAAAAUUGGAAAACAUCCAGUGACACCCAAUGUACUAGCCCAGCUGCCUUGAUUCAUUUCGAAUUCCAAUGCUGGUCUUGAAGAGACGCUUCGAAAGAGGUCCAUAGCGAUGUUCUUCCCACUCCUGAAGAAUACAGAAUGGACUGGACGCCUGCAUUUGAAAUGAGGAGAGAAUACUCGCUUCCAAAUGCUGCGUCUGAGCACCGCUGGCAGGCACAUCAGCGAUGGAGACAGAUGCCAGCAGCCAGCCAGACCCCCAUGGCAGGGCUGCAUCUAAAGUGGAUCCAGUGUGCAGGUGCCUGAGCUCCAGGUCCCCGGUGAGCAGCUGCCCGAGCUCCAGCUCAGCUGUGGUCUGAGAUCACUUCAUGUGAUUUAAAUGAAAGAAGAGGGCAUGAAGGCUGAGGCAGACGGAUUACACCACAGAGGGGGCCACUGGCUGCUCCAGAUGAAGGUGAGAACAACGCAAGGUUCCCGCCAAAAUGCCCCGGGAAGAAAUUCCCUUCAGAGCCUGAAUCUGGCAAAAACUCCAACACCGUGUUAAUCGCCAUAGCUGGUUAAUCGCCAUAGCUGGAUUCGAUCAUCUGCCCUGGAAAUACACGGGAGGCAGCUGGCUCGGGCACAGCUUUAAAAGUAGAAGUGGUGCACACUGAUCUUAAGUCCUAACUUCGAGUUACUGUGAGACCUCGCAGAAUCUGUGUGCUUUCCUUCCCCAAAUAUGUAAAUGAUAUUUUAACAUGUAUGUGGAUGAAUUUGGCCUGAGAGCUACCUGGAAGAGAGGCGUAUGUUUUACUUUUAGAUAAUUAUUAAUGUUUUGUCAAAUAAUUCUAUUAACACAAUUUCUAGAUAAAUAUUUUGUAAUAAAGACAAGGGGGGGCCGGCCUGGUGGCAUAGUGUUUAAUUUCGUGUGCUCUGCCUUGGUGGCUCAGGGUUUGCGGUUCAGAUCCCUGGCGCGGACCUGCACACCGCUCAUCAGGCCAUGCUGUGCCGCAUACAAAGUAGAGGAAGACUGGCACAUAUGUUACCUCAAGGACAAUCUU